GUGUCAUACCCGUUCCCAUCCCGAACACGGAAGUCAAGCCCUUUUACGCCGAUGAUACUGCCCCCCGGAGGGGCGGGAAAGUAGGUAAUCGCCGGGC
rnacentral:rRNA from 1 species